GAUCAUUUCCUUUAUUCUCAUGGCCUCAAGGUUUGAUUCAGUAGUGACAUUGUGUGGAGAAAUUGGUACAAUCAUCCAUUCAAACUGACAAUUUUUUUCGACAGCAAGGUAGUUCUGAGGGAAAUCUGAGGGGUGUGACUGGUUCUCAUUUGGUCAGGAUUUUGCCAACAGAGUCUGACUGUUUCCACAGAAAUGGACAUUUUUCACCACGAGGGAGAUCUUUGGGUUCUACACAGACAUUUCCAGCAAAAUGUUCCCCAUCACUGCCCAAGUGUUCAAGAUGAAACUCAAUCACAAACCAAAAACCAUGUAGAAGGUCCUUAAUGAUAUUAUAGCCAACUUCCUAACAGCAAAACAUGCCUAGGUAGACCAGGUUUAACCCAUUAUCAAAGGACAUAAAACUUGCCUGGGAAUUUUCACUGGCCUGGGAAAUUGUACUGUGGAUAGUGGUAUCAAGAAAAAAAUCAUCCACUUUUGCCUUAAGUUUGUAAAAAUUGCAAGGUAACCUUAUUGCCUGAUCAGAACUGAGAAAAACCAUGUAGAGCAUUUGAGACUUCAUUUAGAGCUGGUAUGAUA